GACGAACGCUGGCGGCGUGCUUAACACAUGCAAGUCGAACGAAGUGGCGAACGGGUGAGUAAUACGCGGGUAACCUGCCCUCCUUUUUGGGAUAAGCCUUGGAAACGGGGUCUAAUACCGAAUAAAGGGGGAUGGGCUCGCGGCCUAUCAGCUUGUUGGUGGGGGGAUGGCCUACCAAGGCGGUGACGGGUAGCCGGCCUGAGAGGGUGACAGGCCACAAUGGGACAGAAAUACGGCCCGGAAUCCUACGGGAGGGAGCAGUGGGAGAUAUUGCACAGUGGGCGAAAGCCUGAUGCAGCGACGCCGCGUGGGGGAUGAAGGCUUUCGGGUUGUAAACCUCUUUCGCAAGCGAACGGGUAGGUGGAGAAGAAGCCACGGCUAACUACGUGCCAGCCGCCGCGGUAAUAC
rnacentral:rRNA from 1 species